GCCAGCGUGGCCUAGUGGUUUGAGCUUUGGACUAGGACUCUGGAGAUCGGGAUUCAAUUCCCAGCUUGGCC
rnacentral:tRNA from 1 species